ensembl:lncRNA
CCCCAGCCACCCCAGCCGGGCUGAUGCCGGGUGACCCCACACCCCUGACGGACUGACUGUACGUUGGGAAGGUUAGCAGAGGGGAGGGAGGCCUCCACUGUCACACUGAGCGCGGUCCCGGCUCCUCAUCCCUAUCCACCCCCUCCCCCGCCCCCAGCCCCCCGGCAGCCCCUCGCUCUCCCCUUCACUUCCAUCUCCAAGAAAGUGGACCUGACCCCUACAGCAUCAUUUUGGCCAAAAGUCGUUCUCUCCCCUUUCUGAAGGCUUAUUUGUGGUCCUUUUUAGGAUUUCAAAGCCCCAAACAGAUCCACCCACUGAGGCGGCUGAGAAAAGGAGUUCGGCAGGUGCAGCGCUGUCAGGAGAUGAGACAAGCUAGACACACACCUGCUCUGAGACAGGCAUUGUGUUAGAGAGCUUCAUUCCCCACAACGUACCCACCCAGAUGCAGUGCUUCCUGGAAUGAACCAUGGUCUCCGUUUUUAUUCAAGAUUUGAUGCCCCCUGUAGGAUGACAGUCAUUGCCCACCUGCCCAGCCCUGGAGAACCCACCUGGUGUGGCAACCCCAUAACCUUCCCUACCUUGCCAAGGAGAAAGACAUGGAUAAUGCAAGAACACAAUGCACUGGUUCUUCAACCAGAAUGCAUUACAAUCUUCUGGGGACUUAAUAAAGAGACAGAUACCCGAACCCUUCUCUGAGCCUUCUGAACUUAUAGGAGUGUGUUUCCACCCACUCCUCAGGGAACACAGAUGCAUACCCACACCUGAGAGGCACUCUCAUGAUGAGAAGGUCCUGUCUGCAAGCACACAGCUUCUAGCACUGGAACGGGAAGCUCAUCAGGUUCAACUUUUUUUUUUUUUUUUCUAAAAGAGAAGAAAAAAAAGGAAAUCUCUAAUCUGCUGAUUAUUUCAGAAGAUUAUUAAUCUUUUGGGUGUCACCACAGAGACUUCAAGCAUGGGUAGAGUCAUAGCAAUUGUAGCCCUUUGCUUUUAGCAAUUAGUGUAAGAAAAUUAUAUUUCAGUUUAGCAGAAUUCCUUAUUUCUCUACUUAUGAAAGAAAAAAAACCCACCUUACUCAUUAGAGAACUGUUAGACCAGACUUAAAUUUUUAAGCAGAUGUCCAUGAAAAUUAUGAAGAAGAAUUUUACAAACUCGGUGUAUCUACUCUACUCAGCUCUGAAUCCAAUUCAGCUCAAUAUUAGUGGGAUAAAAUGACACUCCUUGGGCUUUUCAUACUUAUUUUGGGUCUGAACUCUGUGGGUUGGCAUUAUUUCUAUGGCUUUUUCAAAAGGCUUUUUAAUCUACCUUGAUAAGCCUCACCCUAAAGCAAAUCUAACUCAGCUAAAAUUAGUUACCCAUUAUAUUUUCAAUUGGAAUCCAUGUAACCCACUUGUGAGUAGCUACCAUUUAUUCCAUCAUUUUAGUGAGCAUGUACUAUGUGUCAGGCACUGGACAAAAUACAUUAUAGACACUGACCCAUUUAACUACUCUCAUUAACAAUGACUCUCAUUUCUCAGAUGAGGGAGCUGGGACACAAGAGUAGAGGUGACAGAACCAGGAUUGGUAUCCAUUUGUCCACGUGUCAUACUAUUGCCUGUGUGUACAGAAAAUAGAACUGCCACUUUUAGGGACUUGAUUCGAGUAAAGCAAAUAACAUUUGAAGUAUUAUCCAGUGCUGAGGCCUGUGGUUAUAGCCCUCAUGCGGGGAACAGGACAUCUGAUGCAGUGGGAAAGCAUGUUAUCUGAAGCUUUUAUUCAGUGGUGCUGGCUUUGACUGGCCCAGAUGUGCAUCUGAUCCAUGGAAGGUCAUGGAGACCUGUGACUCUCCACACCACUGUAUUUAUUUAAAAUGACCCGAAGGAAGACCCAUACGACCUAAAGACCAAAGGCAGGCUUUCUUCUAAUCCUCACACUAGCCUAAAUCAAUUAUGACUACCACUGACCUCAGGGUCCCAGAGUGACUCUUGGGAUGCUCUGCGAUUUUGGACUGCUCAUUUGUUUGAGGUGGAAGAGGAAGGAGUCGGGCUUCCAGACCCAAGUUAACUUACUUUAGCUUUUAUCUUUGUAACUUAGGAUUGCCUUUGCAGGUGCGUAGCCUGAUCCACUCCAGCCCAUUUUCCCCAUCUCAGUCUUGAGCAGGCUUUUGACAAGGGCUCCGUGGCUUUGGAUUUGUUCUCACCAUUAGGAGGGCUAUUGUCUGUCCUGCACCUACUGUGUAUGGUUUGAGAUGUUGCAUAUGCACUAUCUCAUUUGAUGAUGAAUUAUUAUUAAUCUGCCCUAAAGAUGAAGAAUUUGGGGUGGAAGGAAGUGAGUACCUUUACUGAAGAUCACAGCUUUAGAAAGGGGCAGAGCUGGAAUGUGAGCUCAGAUCAGCCAAACCUUCUCCCCUCGCCUCACAAGAUGCCUAUAAGAUAAUUGUUUUUUGGUUGGUCGAGACUAACGAGUCAACCAAAAGAACAUGAUACCAGAAUCUGGAGUUUUGGCUCAUUCUUCUGUGUGAGCUCUCUCCAAUAUGGAAAACAAAGGGUUAAUCUCUUUCACACACAAGCCUAUUUCUGACCCUCAGGGCAAAGUGGUGUUUCUGUCUUUUAUCCUCACUG